UACGUAGGGGGCAAGCGUUGUCCGGAUUUAUUGGGCGUAAAGAGCUCGUAGGCGGUUUGUCGCGUCGGCUGUGAAAACUCGGGGCUCAACCCCGAGCCUGCAGUCGAUACGGGCAAACUAGAGUGUGGUAGGGGAGACUGGAAUUCCUGGUGUAGCGGUGAAAUGCGCAGAUAUCAGGAGGAACACCGGCGGCGAAGGCAGCACCCUGGGCCGGUACUGACGCUGAGGAGCGAAAGCGUGGGGAGCAAACAGG
rnacentral:rRNA from 1 species